rnacentral:lncRNA from 1 species
AAGUCUGACAUCUAGAUGGUACAAAAAGGCCUUUGACAAUGACAAAUGAGUACCACCCACUUUCGUCUCGUUGUAGUCAACUCUCCCUGAAUUUUAUCUUGUUUUUAACAAUUGUCUGACCAUUGUGGCAUCUCAUAAUGAUGAGAAAAACACUGACUGGGGAACUGAGUCAGAUACGGUGGUAGGACUUUCCAUUUUCUAUCUUCUAUAGUCUUCCCAGCAACCCCAUGAAAAUAUUACAGUCAUUGCCUCAUUUAGUAGAUGAAGAAGCCAAAGGCCUGAGAAGCUAAAGGACAUCUCCAGCUCACACAGCAGGGUGUAUCAGAGCCAAUAUACAAACCUAGGCAGAAAUGUCCUAAAUUUCACUCUUGAAGAGUGAGCAGCCUUUGAUCAUCAAAAUAAAAUUUGUAUUUGAUGUCAGGACCAAUUUUACUACCAACCACCCAAUGGCAUCCAGAGUAGGCAAACUGGAUAGUCUUUCUUAGAAACUCAUUAACUGCACAUAUAUUAAUUAUUUAAUUAUAAAAUAAAACAAAUUUGUUUAAAAUAUUAUAAAUCCUCACAAAUUAUGAACUUUAAGAUUCUGGCACCUGGGGGCACCUGGGUGGUAUAGUUGGUUGGUUGUCUGACUCUUGGUUUCAGCCCAGGUCGUGGUCUCAAGGUCAUGAGAUGAAGCCUUGUGUUGGCUCUGUGCUCAGUGUGGAGUCUACUUGGGACUCUCUCCCUCUGCCCCUGCCCCUGCCCAAUCCCUAUAAACAUAAAUAAAGAGAUCCUAAAAACAAAUUUUUGUCAUCUGACACCUGCAAGACAUAGCCUGGACCUUACAAGCUGCUGCAAGUAGGAAUUUUAGCUGUUUCAUUCUGACUUUCAUCUGGAAUAUUUUUUUUUCACAUUUUACAUAUGAGAGACCAUAUGUUACACACAAGAACAAAAGCAUAGAAUUAUAAAUUUCAUUGUAGCUAAAAUAUAUAGCUAUUUUUAUGAAAUGGUAUUUUCAGUUCAGAUACAUUCAAAGGACAAAUAUGAAAUAGGAACAGGAGAGAAAUCUUAUUUAAUCAGAUAUUCAGUAAGGUUCUAACUUGUGAGCGAUGUCAGAUUGAUUCCCAUAUGAUGUAACAAAUCUAAAUAACUAACAGAGCUAAACACAUCUAAAUACCCUCCCUUGACCCCCUGCUCCAUCCUAACCACAACGUUCCCUUGCAAAUGGUGGGCACAUUGGCUUAAACCUGGGGGUUAUGGAGAAGGCUUCAAGGAGUCCUCACUGUCCCCACAAGUUGCCUGGAGUGGCAGUGAGGACUGGAGGGUGUGGUGCUGCAGUGGCCAGCCCUUCCUGCUGUGGUGUCACAGACCAAACUCUGGAGGUCACGGGAGUCACGCCCCUUGAGAGCAAUGGAAGGGAAAAGGAAAUGAUAGUAACUGCUGGAUUUAUUCAAGGUAUUGUACGGCAUGGGGGACACAGUAAACGGUGUUGUCAUAGUGUUGUAUGAUGUGGCAAAUAGUAGUUACAUGCGUGGCCAGCACAGCAUAAGGAAUGCUCAGACUCAUCAAAUCACUAUACCGUUAAUCUGAAACCAACGUAACACUGUGUUUCAACUUACUUUAGUGAAAAUAUAUAUAAAAAUUAAAUUAGUCAGUUCUUAAUUAAACCAUCACGUUCUUCAGGUCUAGCAAUAUUCUAGUUUCUACUAAACAUUAUAAAUCCAUUCAUAGUAUAUGUUAUAACUUCUCUUGUGGUUUUGAGGAAAGGGAUGCUCAACCUGGAAUAAAUUCUUCCAAGUACAAUGACUGACUUUUUAGCAGACUUGAAGUUUGACUGCCAUGAAUGGACAUGGUUUCAUGUGAGGUAAAGCUUUAAAUACUCUUUUACAAGCUUAGCUAGAAACACUGAUCUAAGUGAGAGAUCUAAUUGUGUACUUUCUUGGUCAUAAGUGUUUAGGGUGUUUUUGAAUGGGGGUAAAAGCUAAUUCAUAUGCAUUACUGAGAAAAUUAACUAAUUUCCUGUAAAUUUGUCAAACAGCUUCCAGCUUAUCAGCAAUCAUCUACUGUGCACCUUGCACGUACCUGCCACUGGGUCAGUACUGGACUUGACUCAGUAAGUUAAUCUGAAAGAAAUGAUAAAGAUUAGGGAAAACUCAUUCUCCAUUUGAAUAAAUGCAUCAGAAGAAUCUACAGUGGAUUCUUAGAAUACACAUUUAAUUCCCAAGGGGCACCCGAAGGAACAUGAAACCUAUUUUAAGAAGCACAAUUUGGCUGGAUGUGUAGGAGAUAAAGUGCCUAAAUGUAAGGCUACAUACAGACAGAAGAAAAACAGCAAUAUAUUAUUGCUCCAUCAACCUAAACAGAAUAUGCUGGGCUUUAUUUUCAUGUUGAUUUUGGCAUGAACCACAAUAUACUUGAAUCAUUCUGAAAGAUGAUAAUAGGAGAAUUUGUGUUGGCAACGGGCCAAAUAAAAGCCGAGGAUAAAAAGCAGUAGCCACAAGUGUUUACUUUGGUCUAGAGAGAUUUUGCUAAUCAGAGAGCCAUGGGCAAUUCCCAUUGGAAAAUA